AACGCUAGCUACAGGCUUAACACAUGCAAGUCGAGGGGCAGCAUAAGACUAGCUUGCUAAGUUUGAUGGCGACCGGCGCACGGGUGAGCAACACGUAUCCAACCUGCCGAUGACUCGGGGAUAGCCUUUCGAAAGAAAGAUUAAUACCCGAUGGCAUAGUUCUUCCGCAUGGUAGAACUAUUAAAGAAUUUCGGUCAUCGAUGGGGAUGCGUUCCAUUAGGUUGUUGGCGGGGUAACGGCCCACCAAGCCUUCGAUGGAUAGGGGUUCUGAGAGGAAGGUCCCCCACAUUGGAACUGAGACACGGUCCAAACUCCUACGGGAGGCAGCAGUGAGGAAUAUUGGUCAAUGGGCGGAAGCCUGAACCAGCCAAGUAGCGUGCAGGAUGACGGCCCUAUGGGUUGUAAACUGCUUUUAUACAGGAAUAAAGUUAGCCACGUGUGGUUAUUUGUAGGUACUGUAUGAAUAAGGACCGGCUAAUUCCGUGCCAGCAGCCGCGGUAAUACGGAAGGUCCAGGCGUUAUCCGGAUUUAUUGGGUUUAAAGGGAGCGUAGGCCGUCUGUUAAGCGUGUUGUGAAAUGUAGAUGCUCAACAUCUGAAUUGCAGCGCGAACUGGCAGACUUGAGUGUGCGCAACGUAGGCGGAAUUCGUGGUGUAGCGGUGAAAUGCUUAGAUAUCACGAAGAACUCCGAUUG
rnacentral:rRNA from 1 species